UAACAACUCAGGUCCGUUGGUCAAGUGUACCCAUGCCGAACACAGAAGUUAAGCCCUAGAACGCCGGAAGUAGUUGGGGGUUGCCCCCUGUGAGAUAGGGAAGUCGCUUAGCU
rnacentral:rRNA from 1 species